GGGGAGGUGACUGAUGCUUUCUUCCUUUCUGCAGGCACAGGCAGGAGCCCAGGUUAGAAACAGAGCUCCACACAAGCCUGGAAAGAAUGCUCACAGUAGUGCCGGGCAGGGCUGGCAUAGGUCUAUGUGCCUUGGGAUCUCCAGGUCAGCUCCAGGAGCCUGUGAGCAGAUCACACCUAGAAGCUUCUCUGCCCCUGGAUGGAGCAGAAUCCUUGCAGAGUCAUUGAAAGGCUGGAAAGGCACAAUCUGAAGAUGAAGGCAUGGAGACAGCGCUGAGGAGUGAGAGGGGUAUGGAGCCUGUGAGAACCUCUGGCCAGACCAAACCAUGUGCCCUGCUGAGAACUGGGAGAUGCAAAUCAAGGUCACAGGCUGGGAAGCCAGAAAAGUCCCUACACUGGAGUUGUUCGUUUGGUUUGAUAAAACACAAGGAAGAUGUGAUCAUUUGAAUUUAACCACGCAUUCACUGGGUUUUGUCAAAUUAACCUCAUAUUUUGGUCAGAGCUAGUAAUGCAAUCUCUGGAUAGACAGGUCAGCAGAAGUGACAUCCCUAUGGGACCCUGUCUUGAGCAAGUCAGAGACUUUGUGGUUUCAUGUUAUGUCUGUGAUGAAUAUGGUAAAAUGUGCUCUGUAUGUCAGUCUUUUUUUUUGUUUUUUUUUUAAGGUUUAUUUAUUUUAGAGAGAGAGUGCAUGCCCAAGUGGGGGAGGGGCAGAGGGAGAUAGAGAGUCUCAAGCAGACUCCCCCUUGAGCAAGGAGUCUGAUGCAGGGGUUGAUAACAUGACUUGAGCCCAUAUCAAGAGUCAAAUGCUCAACUGACUGAGUCACCCAGGUGCCCCAGCUGCAUGUCAUUCCAUCACUGAGGGAGCCCUAAUGGUGGAAGUGGGAGAGGGGCAAAGUUCAGUGUGAGCAUAUAAUUUAUCAUCUAAAUGGGAUCACUUCUGAGAGGCAAAGGGGACUUGAAUCAGCUGGGUCCUCCAGGAAGCAGGCUCUGAGAAGGAGUUAGGAGGACCGAUGUUUCAUAGGAGUAAGACCUAUGAAAAGAAGAGGAGGAAGAAGUAGGAUUGGAUGAGGGAGCUGUGAAAUUAUAAUGCAGAGCUGUCCAAGUCUCUGUCAUUCUAGUGGGGAGCUCUGGGGAAAAUACUGACCACUGAAAGAGUCCUGUGUUAAGGUGGGCCCUUGUUCCACCUCCGCAAUCAGUCAUUGGUCAGAGUGCCUUCCGUUCAGAAGCAGAAGUGGUCUUGAAAGCUGUAACCACUCUAGACUGCCAGAUAACUGCUCUUCGCAGGGGACCAGCAAGUGCUUCCUUGAAUGGGAAUCUGAGAUGGGCCUGGUACAGGGUACUGCGACAACAGGAGUAAACCAGGAUCAUGUCUGGAACAUCAGGACAUCUGGCCACUAUAUUUCCAAAGAACAUUUAGAAGAUUCACUCUUUGAUUCUAUCUUAGUCUAUCAUGGUCCUGUCCUGUUAAUUUUUUUCUAAUUGCUUGUCUAGA
rnacentral:lncRNA from 1 species